CACGUAGGGGGCGAGCGUUGUCCGGAUUUAUUGGGCGUAAAGAGCUCGUAGGCGGCUCAGUAAGUCAGGUGUGAAAACUCCAGGCUCAACCUGGAGACGCCACCUGAUACUGCUGUGGCUAGAGUCCGGUAGGGGAGCAUGGAAUUCCUGGUGUAGCGGUGAAAUGCGCAGAUAUCAGGGAGGAACACCAGUGGCGGAAAGGCGGGUGCUCUGGGCCGGAACUGACGC
rnacentral:rRNA from 1 species